ACUCAAUAGAUACCCAGGUAGUCCAUGCCGUAAACGUUGGGCACUAGGUGUGGGGGACAUUCCACGUUUUCCGCGCCGUAGCUAAACGCAUUAAGUGCCCCGCCUGGGGAGUACGGCCGCAAGGCUAAAACUCAAAGGAAUUGACGGGGGCCCGCACAAGCGGCGGAGCAUGCGGAUUAAAUUCGAUGCAACGCGAAGAACCUUACCAAGGCUUGACAUGGACCGGAUCGCCGCAGAAAUGUGGUUUCUCCUUUUGGGGCCGGUUCACAGGUGGUGCAUGGUUGUCGUCAGCUCGUGUCGUGAGAUGUUGGGUUAAGUCCCGCAACGAGCGCAACCCUCGUUCCAUGUUGCCAGCGCGUAAUGGCGGGGACUCAUGGGAGACUGCCGGGGUCAACUCGGAGGAAGGUGGGGACGACGUCAAAUCAUCAUGCCCCGUUAUGUCUUGGGCUUCACGCAUGCUACAAUGGCC
rnacentral:rRNA from 1 species